rnacentral:rRNA from 1 species
CCUACGGGAGGCAGCAGUGGGGAAUAUUGGACAAUGGACGAAAGUCUGAUGGAGCAACGCCGCGUGAAUGAAGAAGGCCUUCGGGUCGUAAAAUUCUGUUGUCAGAGAAGAACGUGCGUGAGAGUAACUGUUCACGUAUUGACGGUAUCUGACCAGAAAGCCACGGCUAACUACGUGCCAGCAGCCGCGGUAAUACGUAGGUGGCGAGCGUUGUCCGGAUUUAUUGGGCGUAAAGCGUGCGCAGGCGGUUCUGUAAGACAGAUGUGAAAUCCCCGGGCUCAACCUGGGAAUUGCAUUUGUGACUGCAGGACUAGAGUUCAUCAGAGGGGGGUGGAAUUCCAAGUGUAGCAGUGAAAUGCGUAGAUAUUUGGAAGAACACCAAUGGCGAAGGCGGCUUUCUGGACUGUAACUGACGCUGAGGCUC